rnacentral:tRNA from 1 species
CAGUGAAUAGUUUAUUAAAAAUAUUAAUUUUGGAGAUUAAAGAAAAAUCUUGUGAUUUUUUACUGA